ACGGGUGAGUAACGCGUGAGCAAUCUACCUUAGUUACAGGGAUAGCCCGAGGAAACUCGGAUUAAUACCUGAUAUUCUUUAUUUCUCGCAUGAGAAUAAAAGGAAAGGUCAGCCGAACUAAGAUGAGCUCGCGUUCUAUCAGCUAGUUGGUGAGGUAAAAGCUUACCAAGGCUACGACGGAUAGCUGGUCUGAGAGGACGAUCAGCCACACUGGGACUGAGACACGGCCCAGACUCCUACGGGAGGCUGCAGCAGGGAAUAUUGUGCAAUGAACGAGAGUUUGACACAGCGACACCGCGUGUGGGAUGACGGAUCUAGGUUUGUAAACCACUUUCAGGAGGGAAGAAAAUGACGGUACCUCCACAAGAAGCCCCGGCCAACUACGUGCCAGCAGCCGCGGUAAUACGUAGGGGGCGAGCGUUGUCCGGAUUUAUUGGGCGUAAAGAGCUCGUAGGCGGUUCAACAAGUCGGUCGUGAAAGUUCAGGGCUCAACCCUGAAAUGUCGAUCGAUACUGUUGUGACUAGGAUACGGUAGAGGUGAGUGGAAUUCCGAGUGUAGCGGUGAAAUGCGUAGAUAUUCGGAGGAACACCAAUUGCGAAGGCAGCUCACUGGACCGCUAUCGACGCUGAGGAGCGAAAGCUAGGGGAGCAAACAGGGUUAGAUACCCUGGUAG
rnacentral:rRNA from 1 species